GACAGCCCCCGAAAGGGGGAAGUUAAAAAUAAAUUUGGUCGUGUUGGUAAACUUUGAAAAUUAACUUUCAAAGGUUGAAGAUUCGGCUGAUGUGCAUACAA
rnacentral:sRNA from 12 species